AGCCUUCUGGCAGUUACAGAAACUUUCUACCAGUGCAGAGCUUUUAUGGGACCUCCUUCAAGGACUCCACGGUACAAGUUCUGCUUGAGAAACACAUGUGGCGUUCUCCAGGGAUUGUAUUCCAUCACAGCACUCAAGUUACUUGUUUUGCAUAUCCAUCCUAGCCUAAGUGUGAAGAAAUUUGAAUUGUUUCAAAGUGUAAUGUAAUCAAAUAAUGGAGUUUAUCCUAAGGCUAAAUGAACUUGCCCAUGGUGUUGCUUUCUAAAAGCAGAGGUCAGUUUGCUUUAUUGAUUCCAAGACAGAUAGUGAAAUCACAGUGCUGCUUUUUGGAGAGGAUGGAUUAAGGGUAAGAAGUAGAAAUGCCUGGAAUUAUUUAAUUGUUCAAUGACUAAAGUUGCUUUACUUUCUGGCAAUUAGGUUAUGCUGGAAAACAGACAUGCUUCAUAUCACUGGAUGUGCAGCUUAGCAAGUCACCUCUAAUUCUGCUAGUGAAUCUUCAGAAGUUCAGAGCAGAAGGAGUAUACAAAAGAUGGAAGUGUGUCACAACAUAGGGAGCAGUCCUUGCAGGGUGCUGCUGGCAUAGUCAUCAGCCAAGCAGCCAUUCCUUGGUGAAAGUACAAGACCAGGGUAUUGUUUUUCUCACGUGACAUAUGGUACUAUUUUUAUGUGUUUAAUAGGACUGUUUAUUUCCAGGCUAGGACGGUGUGACAUAGUACUUCCUGCAAAUCUUUGUUAUCAUCUUUCGUUUACAUGAACAGAGCAGCUUUUCAAUGCAAGUUUAGUCUAAUUUCUCAGUGGUCUUUCAGCCACUGUCAGCCUCUUGUUUUGCAGAGUUAAGCAUGCUAACAUGUCUGCUUCAGAAAUGUUUUUUGAAAGUUCUUGCAGUGGUUAAGAGGAUGUCAGAGCCUAUCUGGAGUUUAUGAUGAGGAACUAAAAAUGUUUUAGACAACAGAUGUGGAACACUUGAAAUAUUUGGAAUGUGUGGGAAUAUACUGAGGGACCACCUGUCCUGCGACGUGAAAGACAGGAUUGAUGAGGGAGCAAAGGCACAGAUAGGAUCAGUAUGUAGCAUUUGCAUUUCUUCAUUUGGAGUUCUGGCAUUGUGAAACUGCCGCUGCUCUGGUCCCCGCUACAGUGAAAAGGAAAGGUAUCCAUGCUCAGUGCUUCUGCCCACAGGUGAGCUCUGC